UGCCACAAGAUACUUUCCACGAGAUGAGGGGGGCUGAAACGAAAAUUGAGCCCUAAACUUAAAAAUUAUUCAUGUUCUCCUUGUACUGGGAGAAUAGCGCGGAUCGCACGCCGGACAGCGGCUCAGCGAGGAAGAAAUAUUGUGACAUCAUGGGUUAGGUUUUGCUCCUGUUUCCCGUGUGAACCACGGCCAGCCCUAGAUUGAUCAGCACUUUUCGCGAGAUGCUAUUGGCGUAAAGGGGCAGGACGCGCGGGACGUGGGAGCGGCGGUGCACGGUGACGCGCGUUUUCCGAAAAAAUUCUAAAGUCAGUCGCUCAUGUUCGCCGGGAUGGGAAAUGUCGCGAUUCCGUGUAAAGUCCAGGUGCACGUAAAAUUCCGGUGCUGGUGUGCUAGCUGUAGUUUUUGUCUAUUUUGAGUUUCGGUUGUUUUGGAGAGUUUUUGGAAGUUUGGAAGAUUUUGAAGAAGAUUUAGUUGUGUUUUUCGGUUUAGUUGUCCUGAAAUUUGAUUCGUGUAUUCUGUCUAUGGUUAUUAAAUCAAUCAAUCAUUCGUUUAAUCAAUCAAUUGUUGUCUUGUCAUCAUUCAACCAUGUGAGCUCCUAAAAUUCGCGGAUUGGUGGAGACCUCGCCCUUUAGGCGCCCCCGAAAUAUUCACGCUCUUUACGCCCCCAGAGCGAGCCCGUGCCAAGUGCGUUGCCGGGCGUGUUUUAGCGUUUCAGGGCCAGGUGAAAAGUUGUGAAAAAACGUUUUUUUUUUGGUUCACAAUUAAAAUGAGAAUAUAUUAGAGGAAGAAAAUGCAACGUUGCGAAUUAUGAUACGUGUUUUGAGAUAUCAUCCAGAAAUGACGUCAAGAAGAGGUCUAUGACUAUCUUUCUAACUUUUUAAAACAGGGUUUGAGGAGGGGUCGGUCAAUUCUUGUCAUCGGAGAUGGGGGGGGGUGGGUUGGGGGAGGAAGGAUCAAAAAAUUGAAAGAACUACUGAUUUCAAUAAUAGAAUGCCCCUAAAAUUGGACACU
rnacentral:lncRNA from 1 species